GGAGAGGUGCUCGAGUGGUUUAAGAGGCACGCCUGGAAAGCGUGUAUACGGUGUGGAAUCGUAUCGCGGGUUCGAAUCCCGCUUUCUCCGCCA
rnacentral:tRNA from 2 species